GGAAGAGGCUGUGAGCUGGAACACAGUGCCUUUCUUUUUCCAUCGCCCGCUCUGGUGAAUAAGGAGUCAAUUUCAAGGUGGGGUCAGCCAGGGGAGAAGCAGCCGACCUGUGCCCUGACCCAUGGGGAAGGACAGACUAGGCACUCCUCUGGAGGGCGGGCAGUGCACGCAAGCUCCUGUGGCAGGGCAGGCUCAACCUGUGGCUUCUGCUCGUUCUUCUGCUUGGACUGCUAGCCUUCUCCACUGUCUUCAUUCACCUCUGCUUCCUUCACCGUAGUGAUUUCCUUGUUCCUUUGUUCCCUGCUCUGUCUCCUCACUGCAGACACCACUCUGUCCUCUACUAAAAGUCGACUCUACUAUGCCUGGAGUUCCAGUCUGAGCUGCCGCCUUCUUGGCUCUGCCUUCUUGGCUCCUUUCCUAACUCUACUCCACUGUGGUUAUCGUGGAACACUGAAGAGCCCUUCCUUAAGUCAUUGACCUCCCAGCCAGACCAACACUCCAGACUCCUCUUCCACACCGGCACCAUGGCCAACAGAAAGGCUGGCGGGAUGGCACACUUCUACUUUAAAAUGAAUAAAUGAGUCUUCCUGGCA